rnacentral:miRNA from 1 species
ACACACAUACUACAAUCUCUGU